UACGGAGAGUUGUCAAUGCGGGAAGGCGGAAUCUAGUCAUUUGUCGCAGAGAGCGUUGCUUUUUUCCUGCACCUCGAUGGAAGCAUAGAGACAAGGGACAAUUUGGGAGGACAUGGCACUCGUCAAGCAGGGGAUGGUUCUGGUGUCCAAUGGAAAGGGAAGUCAAGAGCCACGUCGUCUGCUUCUGUCACAUGACACUCUUCAGAUACAGAAGGAAGAAAUCAUUUACACCAGUACGGAGCAUGGACACAAGGCUUUUCUAGGGGAAAGACCAGUACUACUACACAGAGAGAAGGUGGGAGGACUGGGUCUCAAUGU